AUUGAACGCUGGCGGCAGGCUUAACACAUGCAAGUCGAGCGGGGGAAGGUAGCUUGCUACCGGACCUAGCGGCGGACGGGUGAGUAAUGCUUAGGAAUCUGCCUAUUAGCGGGGGACAACAUCUCGAAAGGGAUGCUAAUACCGCAUACGUCCUAUGGAAGAAAGCAGGGGAUCUUCGGACCUUGCGCUAAUAGAUGAGCCUAAGUCGGAUUAGCUAGUUGGUGGGGUAAAGGCCUACCAAGGCGACGAUCUGUAGCGGGUCUGAGAGGAUGAUCCGCCACACUGGGACUGAGACACGGCCCAGACUCCUACGGGAGGCAGCAGUGGGGAAUAUUGGACAAUGGGGGGAACCCUGAUCCAGCCAUGCCGCGUGUGUGAAGAAGGCCUUAUGGUUGUAAAGCACUUUAAGCGAGGAGGAGGCUACUUUAGUUAAUACCUAGAGAUAGUGGACGUUACUCGCAGAAUAAGCACCGGCUAACUCUGUGCCAGCCGCCGCCGUAA
rnacentral:rRNA from 1 species